UGCUUGUGUGAUUUUUUCUUUCUUCGCUAGAAUUCAUCCAUACACUACAUGGUGACAUUUAACGCUCAAGUUUCCCUAGACCCUAGUGGCUUCAUUUUGUGAUUCCCUUUAGCAGCAUAAGUGCAUAAAAAGCCCCGGGUUUCCUUUCUUUUUUUUUACUGUGGCUGGUGUCCAUAUCCUUACACCGACCGGCUGCCAGCUCCACAAGCUGCGAUGUGGCGCUUGGGGUACGCAACGGAUCACAACGAAGGCAAAGCAAUGGAAUCGCACCUGCUGGCAAUGAUCCUGCAAAGGCUCACAAACCUUCGUCAGCUAUACGGUGGACGUCUAACGGCGAGCUCCACGACAUGAAGCUGAUAUCGUACUGAUGUAACGAAUGAGUGUGGUGCUGUGGUAGUAAAUGAAAUGUGACAAAGUUUCCUCAACCCGGGCUAAUGUACACAAUCCAAAACAACCAAGUGCAAUUAUUUCCCGAUCGAGUGUGAAAACCACAAUACCCAGCGUAGCUCAGUGAAGAGUUGCGCCCUCUUGAUGCACAGCCUAACCGCCCCGUUUCGUAGAACGGAACAAGCUCUUUCCGCAAUCGCACGAUCAUUAACCCCAGUGGUGGGACUGUGUGUUGUGGCGUAUGGUCAUUAGAGUUUGACCACACAAACUAGCUGCCAGAGAGAAGGAAACAAAAAGCAAGAAGCUUCCGUGAUAUUACUUGCCCCCUCUGUCCUGUGUGCCUUCGUCUGUGGCUGUGGUGUUCAAUCGUAUGGGCCUUACGCUGUUGGUCUGGGUGAGACUGUAGAAAGGUGUGAUUGCACACGUGUACACACCUGCCCGGUCGGUUGUCGCGGAAAAAAAGCAAACGUUCCAAAUGCUGAACAACGACCAGCGCCAGUAUGCAACGGGACAGCGGUUGGACAGUGGGCAACCGCAAACCGGUGGGAGCCAUUCGUCGGCGGAAAACUCUCCCGACCAUAGCAAUACCUCCAGCACCGGCUUCUUCAUGUUCGACGAACUUAGCUCGGCACUGGCCGAUGAGCGAAACAAUGGCAACAGCCAUCUGCACCAUCAUCAGCUGCAUCAACAGCACCGGCAACAAUCGUUGGCAAACGGAAGCAGCCCGUCGGCGGCCAGCUCCAACAACUCCGGCAGCACCAACAGUUUGCUCAGCAAUGGCGACAGUCUAAUGGCACGAAUCAAUCAGCUCAAUCAGCAGCAGUACCGUGCCGCCGGUGCCCGAUCACCGCCGUCGAAUGGUGCAACGAUCGACGGUAGCACAAUAGGAGCGGUCACCAUGCGCACUUCGCCCACGAAUGGAGGUGCCGGUGGUGCGGUCAGUUCCCUUGCACAACAGCAACACCACCACCAGCAGCAAAUGCUCGCGUCCGUGUUGGUUCGCGCUGGCGGCGGUACAUCCUUUGCGCAACAUUCGCCGAUCGAUGCCACCGAUGGCACAACAUUCCCGUCGACCGCUUCUGCUGCUGCAACCAGCAUCCAGCAGCAGUACGGUGGUGGCAGUAGCGCCCAGUUCCACAAUAGCUUUGCUCAAACUGGACAUCAACCACAGCAGCAGCAGCAGCAGCAGCACAAAGUGACCUUUUAUCAGAGUCAACAUCAACAGUACCACAAUCUUCACCAUCACCAGAACACACAGCAGAGGCCGGGUUUCGGUAAGUCUCCCGAUGCGCACAUUGAUCCCAGCAGGACGGUCGCACAACUGAACCACGCAAUGGAACUGUUCGAAGCUACGGGAACCACCACCGCCACCACAACCACAGCCACCAAUGGCGGCGGCGACAACUAUCACUUCAAGACGCUGGUACCCUCGGUCGCGGCCGGUGCCAUCAUCGGCAAGGGUGGCGAAACGAUUGCCUCGCUACAGAAGGACGCCGGUGCCCGGGUGAAGAUGUCCAAAUCGCACGACUUCUACCCCGGAACCACCGAGCGUAUCUGUCUCAUUAGCGGCACGGUCGAGGGCAUCCUGACCGUGCUCGACUUUAUCACUGACAAGAUCCGCGAGAAACCCGACAUUACCAAAGCACUGACCGAGGCGGACGCGAAGCAGGCCCAGGAGCGCGACAAGCAGGUCAAGAUCCUGGUGCCGAACACGACCGCGGGCAUGAUCAUCGGUAAGGCCGGUGCGUACAUCAAACAGAUCAAGGAGGAGUCCGGCUCCUACGUGCAGAUCUCGCAGAAGCCGAAAGAGCUGACGCUGCAGGAGCGCUGCAUCACGAUCAUCGGCGAGAAGGAGAACAACCGGAUUGCAUGCAAGAUGAUCCUGGCCAAGAUCGUCGAAGAUCCCUCAUCCGGCACCUGCUUGAACGUAUCAUACGCAGACAUCAACGGACCGGUGGCCAACUUCAACCCCACUGGUUCGCCAUUCGCCGCCUCACAGAAUCCCAAUUUCAGCUCCAGCACCGCCUCACUCAACUCCGCCAUCAGCGGGCCCCUGCCGAGUGCGACGGCCACCGGUUUGCUGGUCAACGGCACCGGACUCAAUCUGUCAUUAAACCUAGGUGCACCAUCACCACAGACUAAUCCUACAGCUAUCACACAAUUGCUUGAUCAUAUUAAGACUGCCAUGAGACAGUCCGGCUACUCGGACACGGCUACGGCUGAAGUGCAUGCCGCGCUCGGAGUCCUGGCAAAGUACGGUGUGCUGGGCAUCGGUGUCGGUCUGCAGAACGGUACCCACUCGACCACACUCGGCUAUCUGGGCAUGCCGGAAAUGCAGCAGUCGACGGCAGCCGCAGCAGCGGCAGCAUCCGCCGCCACCGGCGUGUACGGUGCCGUCGGUCAGCUCAACCUCGAUUCGUACCUGCACGGGGCGGGCACGGCGACGCCCCGCACCACCACCAUCGAUCGCUACGAUCCGACCACGUUCGAUCCGUUCCGGCAUCCGGGCACGCAGGCCGCCACACCGAUCUCGAUCAACAACAACGCCUUCGGGCUGGGCAACCCGAGCGCCCUUAAUGCGGCGGCCCAAACGCUCGGUUCGCUCAGCAAGAGCCCAACACCGGCCGAGAUGACGACCAGCAAGGAGAAGAACGUCGAAAUCCCGGAAGUGAUCGUCGGUGCCAUUCUCGGUAAUCCCUACCUGCAAUCGACAUACACGCCAUUUCUGCAAUGUGCAUAUCCCAUGAGCUCGGUCGAAAACGUGAUCGAUCAUCACUAUUAGGACGAUUCUCAGCAAGGACAUACACCAACACACAUAAGAACGAUGUUGCUUACCUAGCCUAGAGUAGAUUGUCAGAGGAGAGGCAGCUGUAGAGGGUUUUUUAAUGCGAGCUCUCGAGAAAGGAGUCUCGCGAUGCCACUGUAAACUAUCGCAAAGAAUUCCACUAAACUGUACGUUCCGUAGGAGUGCAUGUGAUAAGACCAACGGUGUCCACUGAAAGUUAGUUAGUGUACAAGGGUAGGAUGUAGUUUUCUCACCAAUUUGCCAUAUUCUUCCCAUUUGAGUGCGGUUUUACUCCACUGGUUCGCGCGCGCAGUGCGUGUGUUAGUACGUUAAGAGGCUAGUUUUGUAGUGAUUUAGUGUCAUAUCCUUGCUCGCUAUCCAUAAUUCCAUUUUACAAUUCAUAUGUGCCUUUCGAUACAGGAGCCAGUGCGAUGGCUUGAUAGAAAUGAAGAAAGAAUAGCACCCAUCAGGGUAACGCCUAGUAACGCCUAACGUUGCCACGUAGUACAAAACGAUAGCUAGGACCCAAACAGAUAUCCUUAUCUUCACACGACACCCACACAAACACAGACAGACAGGACAUACAAGUACUCUGUGAUGCAUCGAGCCGUGUUUUGACCUACUGUUCCGCCAUCGGUGCCGCUACACCAUUUGCCGGCCACCGGGCACUGUUGCGGUAGUGUGCGUGCGUUAAACCCGCGCCAGUCAGGCGGAGUGCAAGAGCGUGCGAGACACGGGUGACAGAAAAAGUUGUGCGACGAUCGAUCGGGACCGAAUCUGGCCGCUUUUUUGCGUUCCCCAUGCCCAAGACCGGCCGGGCGCAGUUUGGUCGAAAUCCAGCACAUAUCCGGCGCCAACAUACAGAUCUCGAAGAAGGGCAUCUUUGCGCCGGGCACACGGAACCGGAUCGUUACCAUCACCGGCCAGCCGAACGCGAUCAACGUGGCCCAGUUUCUAAUAGAGGACCGCAUCAGCCAGGAGGAAACGAAGCGCGCGUGCCAGACGGCGGCCAACGCCGCGGCCACCAACAAAACAUCCGCCGCGUCCGUGGCGACGGUGACGCAAUAGGGGUGCCGGACGGCAACGGGAGCAGCAGCCGUCGCCGCCACCAGCCUAGCCGCGUUCGCCAGUCCGCCCAAGAGCCGCCUCCAGUCCGCGAUCGACGAGUUUAAGGCGAACAUUCAUCUGUACGUAGCGCAUCCUUCGAUCUGAGUGCAAACGGAGGACGGAGCAGUCGCCAAAACCCCAAUGCGGCGUGCGCAAGCCGUUGCCGCGGCAGUAGGGUUUUUAGAUAGUGCAUAGUACGAGUGUGUGAUAGACAGUGAGUGCAAAAGUGGGGGGGGGAGGGAAAAAUCGGGAGAAGACAUACCGAGUAAAAGGGGACUUUACUGUUGUUGCGGUUCGUAUCGCGCAUUAGUCGCAUCUCACACGUGAAGCCUGCGAAGGCGAAGCUAUCUCUUCGCGUCAGGCAGUAAACGGUCGGCCAGAAGUUUUUGUAGGUUUUGUUUGUUUUAUGAGGGGGGGGAUAGCCAAGAAACCUGUUUUAAAUACGAAAGGAUUGUUUAUUGUUACACGUCGUUUCAACCGUACUUUGUUGUUAAUUUUAAUGCCGAUGCGUUCAGUUACUCUCUGGGUAGAGUGAUGCGGUAAAAGCAGCACGUGUCUGCAGCUAACGCAACGUGAACGAAGAAGAAGAGGAAGAAAAAAAACAUUAUCAUAUAUCUGAUAAGGGAUAAUGGAAGGACUAAAUGAGGAAAAGUUAAAGAAUUGUCAAAGCUCGAUGCAACCAGAGACAUGAUUUCGCAAUGUGAUAGCGAAAGAACACAACACGGAUGGAAGCAGACGGAUUAGGUAAUAACCAAUGUGGGAUGGUACACAAAAACAACACAAAAACAAACAUACACAUUCAUCUAACACGUACACAAAACUAACUACAUGAUACAUCUAUAUACAUACAUAGAAGUAGGAAAUAUGUCAGAUGAAUUAAUGAAUAAUUGUUAUUUUACUAGCUAAAUUGAGGGCCGUGAUUCGUUCGAGCGAGGAGGGACGGAGAUAAUCGUACACGCCGAAAAGGGAGGCAAAAACACAUCACACACAUACAUCUAGCAGAAGGCUCACGUGUACAGAACAAUUUUAACGAAGCGAUGAAACAGUGUCGAUAGUGUAACAGUGUCGAAUGAAUCAAACACGGAAGCAGUCACCACACAAAACAAAAAAAAUCACACAGUUAAAAACGGUACGUUACUAAUUCGUAAACAUCACACCAUUUAAAAGGGCAAAAUCACACACCCAAAAAAAAGCACGAAGGAUGGUAGCAAAGGAAAGUCAUCACUCAUCAUGCUCAGCGAAAGCAUAUUUAGGUUCGUUUGCUAGUUUUAGCCAGGUUAAUGUUUCAUUGUAUGUUCCAACCAACCGAGACGAGAUAGGCGUAAAAGACGAUUUAAUUAGCCGUUAAAAUAUGUUACCUUAAUGUUGUGCUGCUCAGAUUCAGAUUCAAUGCCCCAAUCGACACAAGGACAGGACAAUAGAGGUGGACCAAUGGUCUGCUCAACUGCUGCUCACGAUGCCAGUCACAGCAUGCACGUAUGCCGUAAAUGAAUACCAAAAAUGAAUCAUCGUUCCUGCUAGAGAUCAUCGGAGAAUGCGCCUCCGCCCCACUGCUGUUAACCUCAUGCGCAUCCAUUUGCAAGAUUGUUUUGUUUAUGUUUUCUUAAUUUAAUUGUAGCCCAUUUCCGAAGCGCAUACAUUCGAUUUUGCUAAAAGACGGGUUAGCUUACCCGGGCCAUAGUCACACUGAACCGAUUACCUGUCCUGUGUGUUCUAGCCGAUCGAUACCCUACGCCGGCCGCAUACGGCGGAACCAUUUUAAUUGUAGUUUUAUUCUCAUAUUUCGUUCCGCCAAACAGUACUGUACUGGUGGAAUGCUCCAACAAAAAAAAAAUACUAAAGGAGACACGUCGGGAAUUGUGGAAUAUUAUAGGAGCGGGCAACGUUUCGGUGCUUUGAAAAAAAAAAACACAGAAACGGAAAAACGAAACACGAGGUGGUGAUCCGAGCGAUCGGAAUGGAAUGGGCAUAUAGUUGGAUUUAGUCGGGAUUCUAGUGGUUUAGUUUGUACAUUUUCUUUUUGUUCUUCAUUUUACCAUCUCUGCGCAACGGAAACCGGCGAGACCCAGGGUAUAGCGGUAGGGUAGUAGGGUAAGCAAGAGGGGCGAUAUAACGCGUGUAUAGUUUUGUGUUAUCCAUUUUCGUUUUCUGUUUUACAUUUUACAUCCCUGUUAGUAGAACGUUUCAGAGCGAACGGUUGCAAAUUCGAUGCGCAGCUCUAUACUUCGCUUACUAUAUUAUAGGGGCCAGGCCUAAGAAUUCAUUUUCUUCCAAAUAUCUAAUCGUUUCGCGUUUUGCGUUCGUAAUGUUACCUUAUUGCUUAAGUUUUAUUGCAAGCGCAGACAGCAGUUAGUCACUUAGAGGGCGACUAAUACUAAAAAACCAACCCUUAUCACUGGUGUAUGUUCUUCCAAUCGCGUGGAAUUGCGGUGUGCAAUAUUUCACAUUGUUUAGAAUACCAUCUGUUUUAUACAUUACACGUUACUUCCCCAAUGUGCUUUGUUACUUUUUAUCCUCACAAACAUAAUUGUGGUUUUGUUCUUUUUUUCCGCCCUUUCAUCACGCGCAUCAACGUGCAAGUGCUGCGGACACAUGGUUUAUCUCGUUCGUUCCACCUUCCCUGGAACCUGUCUGUUAGAAGAAGAAAGAAAAAAGAAGUUAGUUUAGUUAAAAUUAAUUAGCAGUUAAAGGUUUUUCGGAUGGGGAGGGGGCGAUAAGAAACGGGAAUUAUAGAAAAGGAAGUAGAGCGAAACACAACCAAAAAGACGAGAAGGAAGCAAAAAUCUGCUUCAAUCCUGUUUCGAACGAUAAAAGCUAGAUCCUUUAGCAUCAGCAACACACAGCUGCAGCAAAAGCAAAAACCCCUGAGAAGGAAGAAAGGCAACCAAAAAACUGUAUGAAACAAUUAUAAAGAGUUUGAGCAAGGAGAGAAAGCUAAAGAAACCACAAGAAAGGGACGAUCGAGAGAGAGAGAGAAAACAUACAGAAGAGACAAUAUGCUCAAACGCUUGAGCAAAACCACGCAAAACAAAAGACACGUCGAAUUUUAUGUGCCAGGCCAUGCAACGCACCGAAGCUAAGUGUGCUUGGGCCACCCUUCCACUGAGAGUGCCGUCUCGACGAGCGACCACAGGAAGCUGAGCUUCACGGUUCCUUUCUUCUCCCCUUGCUCCUUUUCCCUUUUUUUUUUGUUUUGCCUUUCUUCCUUUGGCUCCUUUUGCUGCAUCGUUGUGUGUGUGGGUGUGUGUCCCCCCUUGUCAUCUUUCUGUUUUGCACUAUUUAAAUUUGCAAGCAUAAUAAAACUUCCGAAUUUCCUGCAGUCCUGCUGUUGUAACGCUGCAUCGGUCUCGAUACUGGGGGUUGCCAAAGGCAAACCCGCAGACCCGCACGCCCCGAGUUAGACAAAUAAGAUCGCUUAGGAUCGGAUUGUAAGAAAGUAAGCGAAUGGCUAUAAUGGCAAAGUUCCGGAACGGAAACGGGUACUGGGAAAAGCGACGAACGGCACACAUGUGCGUGGUGUUGAUUGGUGGAAAAAAGUUUGCUUAUAAGUCAAUAAGUUUAGUGCAUUAGCCCACGACACGUCACACAAGGCCACGUUUCUAAGGAUUGUAAUUAUUUGUGCAACAUAUUAAUAUCUCUUCAUUCAGUUACCAUAAAGAAAGAAGCCGUCUUACGGUUGGGCCACCGGCGAAACCGGGGUGCCAUCCAGCAGUCACCCGUUAGAAGAUUGUGAAGGAUGGAUGGAAGGAAGGAAAAGCCAGGAUUUCUUUCGGCUGCGAUGCGUACAAUGCGUUUGUAGCAGAACGGGUUUCUUUUAUGCCGUGUGUACGUGGGAAUUCCGAUCCGAGAUCGGAAGCGAAAUAGAGUGGAGCGAUUCACCGCAUCACACAUAACGCAAGUUAGUUCCAAACUAAAGUGUAGUCAAUCAGUCAUCACCGAUGUCAAAGAAGAAAAUAGAAAGGUAUAGAGAGAGAGAGAGAGCGAGUUGAAACCACUUUUAUCAUCACAACACCACAUAUAGCGCACCUCACAAUGAUAACUCACACACACGCAGAGAAAAAUCACACAUACACACAUAAACCCAUAGAACAUAUUGCAUGCAACAACACUUGUACCAUCUACUACUACUACUACUAUCUACUGUGUUAUGUUUUAUUCAAAGUUUAUCUAUAUUUAUAGUGAAAAUGAAAAUGCGCCCACACCAAUAAACAAGAUAGGAAGUUUAAAGAAGACGGUUGCAGCGAAAUUGAAGUAAUCGACGUAAUGUGGGAAGGCUAACAAACCAGGGGCAAAGUGUAGUAGGAACAUUAACAAAUUGAAUUACCACAGGCGAACGUUACCGAUUAAAAAAAAAACAGAAAAUGGGGGUUUAAUGGAAAAGCCGGCCGGAAUGCAACAACACAAGAAACGUAGGCAAGUAAACAAGAGGAACUGGAAUUGUGGAAAAGAAAGUGUGAGUGUGCGUGGAAAGGUUUAGCUGAAGAAGGAAAGUAAGAGAAAAGUACAUGAAAUACAUUACAAGAGACAAAAAUGAACACCGGUACCAGGGACAAUGGUCCCGCGAGUGUAAGUUUUUUUUUUUGUUUUCCUUUUUUUUCUUCCUUUUUAUAUGGAUAGUCGUUUUGUUUCUCCUUGUUUUACUUCCCGUUUUACAUGUUUAUUCUUCUCCGUUUGUUUUCGCUCUCUCUUUUUUCUACGUUUUAUCACUUCUUUUAUGGUUUGUACAGCUGUUUUACUCUUUUUCUCAACUUUUUCUUUAAUUUACAUUUUAUUUUUAAUGUUUUCAUUUUUAGGCAAAGUGGUUGCGUUUUGCGUGUCCGUGCAAUGCCGGAAAAAGGGAAGAAUUAAUUUAGCAAUCGAUAGUACAACAAAACCGGGCAACCAAGCGUCGCAGGAGGUGAAGUGAGGCAGGCCUGUUUUGCUGUUGGCUGUACAAAUGGCUGCAGAAGGAUAAAUAUUACAACAACAACAACAAAAAAGAAAGAAAGAAAGAAAAGGUUUGUAAAGAACGAGCAAUGUUUAGAAAGCCAAGUAUGUCUAACGUUGUGAUGGUAGAUAAAUCUAUUGCUGUUACUUGUUGAAUGGAUAACUAAACACAACACACAGACACGUACACAAAGACACACUAGAGUGCUGGAGGUAUAUUAUUUUGACGAGAGUUAGAAAAUUGAAUUACGUUGGUUAGCUCCUUAUAUUGGCUUGUUUUCUUUUGAGAUUUUCUAUCCACAGUCCACCACAUGCGGUGGAAUAAAAUUUGUACGAGUCACCGGGAAAAAUCACCAGCAAAUGUUAAAACCAGUCUUCAUAGUACGUACUUACUGAAGAAGGGAAGCUGUUCAGGCAAACUUAUCAGGCACACAACCGGUUUUCACAAGGUCGUGGAAACGUGAGAUGCGUGGCUUAGAAAAAAUACGAAUUUUAUCCUACACUCACACACACAUUUAUUGUGUGAUCCCUUCACUCCUGUUGCAUAGAGACAACAUAAGACACUCCUACCACACAUAAACAGUAACACAUUCCAUAUUAAUUGAAACAUCUCGACCGAGCUAAGAAACGAACAGUCGUUCCGAACAGCGUUGUGAAAACAAACAAAAGAAAAGUAUUUAUUAAACCUUUCAAAAACACACACAAAACUAAGAGAAAAAGGGACAGAAAAAGGAAGGGUGGAAACAAAACAUACAAAUCAAAUUAAUGCAUGCAAAACAAAGCAGUACCAUGAACAUUCGUUAAGCAAGUGUUAUUUAAAACAAAACAAAACAAAGAAAACCCAGUGCAUCAAACAUUAACCGAAUACCGCGUCCGUUACACCGUAGACAAUGUAAGGUAGAGUAAAAAAGUUUAUAGAAAGAUAUUUUUCUAACAACUAGCAACACAUAUAACACCUAUAGGAUUAAUUGGUUACACACGCACACAUAAGGGGACACUCACGUAAAGGAAGGGGUACAUGGUAAUGCAUGUUGUGUUACUGUGCGUGCGUAGUAGUAUGUCUGUGCGGGGGUUGCGCCAAAGGAAGAAAAAAAAACCACCCGUGUGUUAUUACUGUGUAUUAGUCGCGAGAGCUCUAUAGAAGCGAAGGUGAAGGAAAGGAUGUUUGUAUUGCAUUCUUUCAACUAUACUCUCUUUCUACUAUAAAAAGAAAACCCCCUAUUAAAGACGGAUGAAAAGAUAGAGAAAGGAAGGACAUACAUUUGAGUAGAAUCCCGACCGAACGUUUCUUGUAGUAUGAUACUGUUAGACUGAGCGAUAGCUAUGUGUAAGCGAAGGGCGACUAGGUAAAUACUUUUCCCAGCAAAGAAAGGAAAGCUUCCUCAACAAUCCGCUGUUAAAGGGCGCCAGAGCUCAGUCUGAAGCUUGGGUGACUUCGAUGCGGCAGUAGAAGACGAACCUUGUUUGUUUUUUGUUAAAAUAGUCUAAUUUUUGUAAAUUGUUAUCUGCAAUUUCUGCACACCAAAAAAAAAAAACCGAUUGUACAUGGUAGCCUCAGCCACACUGUAAAGUCCAUCUUACUAUUUUCUUCCUAAUGAUGCACACGGUAAAACGUUUUUGGGCAAUGGAGGCAAUGGGUCAAAAUGCAAGGGCUUCAUCACGGCAGGUGAGCUCCCUGCUUUCCCAAUUAUGAUGCACACACUGCACCACCAUACCACCAUGUUACACCGAUAUAGCUAAUCGAUGCAAUGCAACUGCAUGUUCUACUACUACUACUACCAUUACUACUACUACUACCACUACUGUAACUACUAAAAGAAGAACUUUGCCAUACCUCCUUCAAGAGAAAGAAACAAAACAAACACCACAUUUUUCCCACAUCUGUGCGCCAGGGUUUUUCGCAAAAGUGUGACAAAACCAACACCCGCCCCGUUAUUGUGCUCAUGUUUCUAGGUAUGGUUUUGGGUUUGAAAGACGUUUAAUACGGUAUGUAACGUGUAGCAAACUUAUGAAAUGUAUCUAAAUAAGAAAGAAAAACAACAACACUCGUUAUUUUUUCGUUUUUCUUUGUUCUAAUAUGAUAGCAAAAACCAGUUCAUCCAUACAAAAAACUGCAGGGGUUGAAGGAUAAGAAUGAUGCAAUUGCAAUAGCUAAAAAAAUUUAAACCCACACUACACCACUAUUGAAUGAUAGACAAUAUUUUCCACGACAACCCUUUAAAGCACACUCACUCACUCUCUCCCUGAAGAGGUUGCUGUAAGAUAGAAGAGUUCUAAGAAAAUCCCUCAUUCCAAUCGAAAUAAGGGGGCAAACCCGUUUUUUAAUACCACUACUAUUACUACUCUCCACGGCACGCGGUCUCACGGGCGCACAGUUAAGCAUCGAUCACACGUUUCUCUACACACACUCUCUCUCUUUCUCUCUUAUUCAACUUUUUUCCCAACAAAAAGAACACUCACACUCAAACACAAACUACAUACAGAACUUUACACGAGCCCAUUUAGGGAAAAAUGGUUUUAAACAGCUGUUGAAGUUCAUGUUGUUCAUGCUGCUGCUUUAAGUGAAAUGCUAGCAAAGCAAAAUGGAACAAAACAAACCAAUGCACAUGAGCAACGGGUAGUUUAAGUUAUCUUUCACCCGUAUCUUCUAUUAUCGAAAUAGCAAAA